UUUUAUUAAAGUAAAUGAGGGGGCGUGGCCCCUCAGAGUACACUAACACUUCAUGAAGAAUUCUGGGAUCAGUCCUGAUGAAACAGUUAUAAAUUCAUCCUGACCCACGCUUUUGCUCCAGAAUUAGUUUGUAAAAUGAUGAACUCUCACUUCCUAAAUUUUCUGCAGAUGCUACCGUUGCUGGGGAAAUGUCACUGUUAGAGAAUAGAAAACUAUCAUUCCAAAGAGGACUGAAGACUGACUGAAUCAGGUCUGGAACAUUAUUGAAAUGAUACUCCUUGUGGAUGGUGCUUAGAACACUCCAGGUCCAUGGUGAUUGGCUUUCAGAUACCUCCCAGUGCCACUUAGUGACAGCCCUAGGGACUUGGAGGGAUUGCAGUGGCUAUUUCCUCCUGGCUCUUCAUCCAAUGAGAUCUCUGGGGCUAAUCUGACAACCAUCCUUAUCAACAAUGCAGGUUUAUGGCAUACUAUUGGCUGUGGAGCACUUCAAAAGACGUCUCCUGGCUCUCAGCUGUAGGUGAACAUGUGGGAAGACUCAGGCUGGAAGGAGCCUAUCAACCUACAGGGACAUGGAGAUGUGGGAAGAGCAGUGAUGACCCAUCUGGUUAUGAGACACUUGGAGACGAAGAAUUAGAGACAAAGAUG
rnacentral:lncRNA from 1 species